rnacentral:ncRNA from 1 species
GUUCAAUUUUUCAACAGGAUCGUCCUUUUUUGAGCUUAAUUGUGUGGUGGAUUCGAUGUAUGGGGACGCGCAGUGUGGUGCCGUUGAAUAGUCGCACUGUUCUCUCUUUCUCUUCGGGGUUGGAGGAACAAUUGUCGAUCAGUCGGUUUCGGAGCGUGCACACUGGUACCCGAAAGAUGGUGAACUAUGCUUGAGCAGAAUGAAGCCAGAGGAAACUCUGGUGGAAGUUCGUAGCGGUGUUGACGUGCAAAUCACUCGUCUGACUUGAGUGUAGGGGCGAAAGACUAAUCGAACCAUCUAGUUGCUGGUUCCUUCCGAAGUUUCC